rnacentral:rRNA from 1 species
UACGAAGGGGGCAAGCGUUGUUCGGAUUUACUGGGCGUAAAGCGCGCGUAGGCGGAUCGCUAAGUCAGGGGUGAAAUCCCGAGGCUCAACCUCGGAACUGCCUUUGAUACUGACGAUCUAGAGAUCGGGAGAGGUGAGUGGAAUUCCGAGUGUAGAGGUGAAAUUCGUAGAUAUUCGGAGGAACACCAGAAGCGAAGGCGGCUCACUGGCCCGAUACUGACGCUGAGGCGCGAAAGCGUGGGGAGCAAACAGG